AUGUUCUUUGUUCAUCUCGAACAGGUUUGUACAAGAUUUGGUGAAAGAAAACAUCUUACACUGUUAAAGGUUUGCAGUCACAAGCGAGGUUAUUAUUCCCCUGGUUUCCUCUACCAAAACUCAGGGAGGACGAUGAUGAGCUUUUAAACAGUUCAUAAGGAAAGUGUAGAAUGGAUUGGAGUCCUCAUUUGAAUGAAAAGACUGACCAUUUUCAGCCUGUCUGAAAGAGGAGUUUUGAUGGUCUGUUACUUGUCACUCAGAUGCAGUGCUUUUCUAGAUAAAUAGACUGGUAAGAGAGAUGCAAAUGCAAUCAAAAAAAAAAUAGUGCAAGGUGCUUGGAGAUGAUCAUCUGAAGCAAGUGUUGUGGGUUUUUUAUUUGCUUUUUUUUUUCCUCGUUUUCUGCUGUUUGGAACUGUUCCAGUUAAGUGACCACAUAUUCCAGCCUUUUACAAUUCUG
rnacentral:lncRNA from 1 species